UUAACUCAAAUUUGUAUGGAGUUGGAACGUUUGCCUACGUUUGCCACUAGGGGCGCUAUUCCAACUGCAUACAAUUUUGAGUUA
rnacentral:pre_miRNA from 1 species